rnacentral:lncRNA from 1 species
UUUUUUUCCUUUUCUUUCUUCAUUCCUUCUAGUAGAAGAGGGAUGCGGAAGAUUUUCUCAUAGAAUUAGUUUAGAAAGUAAUAAAAAGAGGUAAUAAUUAUGUUCCUAAACUGGCUGGAACCAAAAUAUGCGGUGGUAGAACAGUUGCAUCUAGUGGAGUCAUUUGUCUUGAAACAAGGAACGUCUACCAUCCACCAAAUGUCCCAUUGACCUUCUACUGGGCUGGUAGAACAGAGUUUGCACUGGAAAUCUGCAGGCUGACUCCAGGGCAGACUGAUCAAAGUGGAAUUAUUCAUCCAUCCACUGGACUCCACGCCCUAGUGACAGCCACAUGCCCAUCCUGCAGGGACAAGAGCAUGAGCUCCAGCACUGGUGAAGCCUGGUUUCCUGUGGAUGAUCCUCGAGGCCAUUCUCCUGGGAUUAUUCUGGGACUGUGUGGACCAGAUACGCACUUCAUGCAGAAAGGAGAUGACACUUUGAGAAUGGCAGCACUGGGUCUCUCAUUUCCUCUACAUUUCAUGUCACUGAGCCUAUCCUGCUGGAAAUUAUCCACACCACAUAGUUUUAUUCUGAGUCUAACUCCAUGGGCUGCUUUAACACUAAUAAUAAUUCUAAGAAGGGAAAGUAAUUAACUCCAGGAUAACAUGCUCCAUGUGUAGCAGUCAUAUCCACUUGUAACGAUACAGAUUUGUAUAGUUUUGUUAUCAGAUUAUAUAGUAUUGGAUUACAUUUACAAUAACCACAACUUAAAAAAAUAAAUAAAUAAAAAUUAAAAAAAAAAAAGAGAGAAAUGUUUUGCAUGAAGGUGGAUUGAAUCUUGUAAGAAAUCUUUUUCCCAGUUUUCUUGCCUCUAAGAAGGCCAUACUGAUAGCAUUUCUUGGGCCUGGCCAAAGACUUUCAAACAUCGAGUUGUGAACAGCCUCCUCCCAGCUGUCUCCUGUGGUAAUUAGUCUUCCAUCA